AAAUUCAACUACCCCCUCGUCUGUGAAGCGUCCCAUUAUAGGACACGGUAAUUUUUGCCGAGUCUGUGGAGCGUCCUUUCAUGGGACUCGACACAGCGGUGAUCUCAUUGUUUAGUUUUAAAUAUUUUUUGUCGUGUAUGUAGGUUUUACUCUAUCGCACUCAGCAAAGAUCGUAUUAGAAUGAAAUUUCUCUCACUCUGACAUUCGAUUUAGAACGUCUGUGGAACAAAAAAAGUUUGAAUUUGAUGUUUUAAUGUGUCACUAGUUCAGGCGUCUACUGCUGCGUAUUAUCGCUUGAUUUUUCCUAAACUUGUGCGUUUUGUGUGAUUUCAACAGGAAUAACCAUGGAACAGUUAUUUGUGGCGUUUUGACGUACACGCCGACUGUACAAUAUUAAACUACCUACAUUUCAGUCUACCGCGACCACGGCUUUUGUAAAGAUGUCGAAACGCCGGAAAAGAAAAAUAAAAAUCCCGUUUAUACAGCAAUAAAAUAGUUAAAUAAAAAUAAGUUCGAAAAAAAAUCAUAUUGAUUAAAUAAAACAGUCGUAUCCAUACUAUUGUAGCUUCAUGGAGCAACUAUGCUCAUAUUUCACUGUUUUUAAUAACAUCGUUUUUGAUAUUUCUCUUCUAAACAUGUGUUAUUUUUCAUUGUAAUUGAUGCUUAGUUCUAUGUAAAUCUUGAAUAAUUAACAACUAUAACACUUGGAAGUAUAUAUUCUGCAAAAUCUUAGUGUUUUUGAGACAAUGUUUUUUGUAAGAAUUUCGAGCCUCAUUUUUGAUACAUCCAUACUCAAGAUGUGUUGAAUAUUAUAAUGUGCCAUUAUUUAUACUAGCUUGGCAGUAAGUUAAAAUUAUUGUAAACAAAAAACGCUUUGUCCCUGACGCCAGGAACAUAUUGUAAACUAAUGAAAUGUGAGACCCACUUAAGUGGCUUUUGAAGAGGUGCUUUUUUUGUCGUAUGUUAAAAAGAGGGUACAGUGAAAAAAAAAUGUAUGUAAGGUAUGCCAUUUCUUUUUUAAUUUUAUUAUAUAUAUAAGAUUGUAUAAGAAAAAUAUAAUAUUACAUCCAGCUAUCGUUUUAUUUUUUAUAAAUGAGAAAAUAAAAGUUAGAUUUUAAGAGACCCAUAUUCUUUCUCCUAGAACAGUUAUAAUACAAUUCAAAGUCAAGCCUAAGUGGUGUAAGAAAUUAAAGAAAUAUAUCAUAAUUAUAAAAUUUACUGUAAUUUUACUAGAUUUCAACUACAUUUUGAAAUAAAACGGUUUUUCCGAACCUAAGUCGUGCUCAAACCCCUGUCUGUGGGAAGUCCUGUCAUGGGAUCCACAGAUUGGCACUAAUUGUCAUUUUUAUAGCUCACGGACGAGAGGCUACUCG
rnacentral:misc_RNA from 1 species